UACAGAGGGUGCAAGCGUUGUUCGGAAUUACUGGGCGUAAAGGGCGCGUAGGUGGCCUGUUAAGUCGAACGUGAAAUCCCCGGGCUCAACCCGGGAACUGCGUCCGAGACUGGCAGGCUCGAAUCCGGGAGAGGGAUGUGGAAUUCCAGGUGUAGCGGUGAAAUGCGUAGAUAUCUGGAGGAACACCGGUGGCGAAGGCGGCAUCCUGGACCGGUAUUGACGCUGAGGCGCGAAAGCGUGGGGAGCAAACAGG
rnacentral:rRNA from 1 species